ACUCAAAGGAAUUGACGGGGGCCCGCACAAGCGGCGGAGCAUGUGGCUUAAUUCGAUGCAACGCGAAGAACCUUACCUAGGCUUGACAUGCAAGGAAAUCUCCCAGAGAUGGGAGGUCCGCAAGGGCUUUGCACAGGUGGUGCAUGGCUGUCGUCAGCUCGUGUCGUGAGAUGUUGGGUUAAGUCCCGCAACGAGCGCAACCCUCGUCCUAUGUUGCCAGCGAGUCAUGUCGGGGACUCAUAGGAGACCGCCGGGGUCAACUCGGAGGAAGGUGGGGAUGACGUCAAGUCAUCAUGCCCCUUAUGUCUAGGGCUGCACACAUGCUACAAUGGCCGGUACAAAGGGCUGCGAUACCGCAAGGUGGAGCGAAUCCCAUAAAGCCGGUCUCAGUUCGGAUUGGGGUCUGCAACUCGACCCCAUGAAGUCGGAGUCGCUAGUAAUCGCAGAUCAGCAACGCUGCGGUGAAUACGUUCCCGGGCCUUGUACACACCGCCCGU
rnacentral:rRNA from 1 species